rnacentral:tRNA from 1 species
GGAGGGGUGGCCGAGUGGCUUAAGGCGCACGCCUGGAACGCGUGUGGGCGGGAAACCGUCUCGUGGGUUCGAAUCCCACCCCCUCCGCCA